rnacentral:lncRNA from 1 species
CACAGGCACCUGCCGCUGCCGAGAGGGCAUCUCAGGGCCGCGGUGCCAGGCGUGUGCCCGUGGCUCCACAGGAGGCUUCCCACACUGCACAUCCUGCCCUCCCUGCUUCGCCUCCUGGGACCAACGCCUGGCUCCCCUCCAGCUGCAUCUGGACACCAUGGUCCAUGAGGUGGCUGCCCUGCGCCAGGGCAUGCCUGGCUGGGGUGCUGGGCUCCGGGGAGAUCAGCUGCAGGCCCUGGAGGGUAAACUCCAGCAGGCCCAGACACUCCUGGAAUCACCUUCCCCCACCAGAGGUCCCCUGCAACAAUUUACAGAGUGGAUCACCGGACUCAGGCAAGGGGUCUGGGGUCAUUAGGGAGGAGGGCUGCAGCUGGCCUCCCAGGGUCAGGGACUCAGACGGUCUCUGGCUGGCUAUCUGAGUCCUGGGUUCGAAAGUGAGGUGAGUCCUCUGGAGUGAGGAGACAGGGGGAAAAGGGCAUCUGUGGCCAGGCUGAUAUUCCAUCUUCCCACAGGACAGAAAGAACCACAUUGGGCCAGACACUAUGGGUCACAGCACAGGUUGUGGCAGAGAGAGACUCAUGGGUUAGGGGACAGUGUGAACAUCUGGAAGAAUUAUCCCAGGAGUUAGACUGUGUCAAGGGCCUGGCCUGGCCCAGGAAGGCCAUGGGAGCCCAAGAUGCUAAGGCCCAGGUCUCCUCAGCUGCCCUGCUUUCUCAAGAGGCCCUGCGUACAGUCCAGGUCGUGGCCACACUUGGAGGACCAGAAAGCCUCCUGGGACAGGCCCAGGAGGCCCGGCGGUGGACAGAGCAGCUACUGUGGGCAACAGGCCGGCCCAGAGGGCCAGCUGUGUUGCGGCUGAAAUUGAAGGGGCUGGUCGACAGGGUCCAGAGGCUGAGCCCUCGGCUUCUGGGGCUGCUAGACAAAGCUGGAGUGGUGGGUGGAAAUAUGGGUCACUGGGGGAUGUUUUGCCAAGGAGAGGACUCUCUCCUGGGGCUAAACUGAAUGUAGGGCCAUUCGAGAUCCAGGACAUAAAUUCCUCACUGGGACCCUGAUCUUGUUGGCAGGGAUGCAGGGGUCAGGGACCUGGGCUGGCCCAUGUUCCUGUGCCCUCUGGUGUUCCCUCUUGCCCUGGGACCCUGCCUACCUCCCAGUGGGCUCUCAUUGCCUCCCGUAACUCCUCCCAUAGCCUGGACAUAGCAUUCAUCACCUUGGAGCAGUGCCAGCAUCUGGUACAGAGCUGUGGGGUCUGUGGAGGGGGGCCUGGGGGAGUCACAGGGUACGAUGCCUUGGCCAUGGGCUCACAAGAGACACAUUCCAUAUAUGGCCCACCCCUACCAGCUACGGCAGACCCAGGCCACUGCAAGCUCCACAGGAAUCCAGGCCUGGGAGACGUGGCGUCG